rnacentral:rRNA from 1 species
GUGCCAGCCGCCGCGGUAAGACGAACCGUACGAACGUUAUUCGGAAUCACUGGGCUUAAAGGGUGCGUAGGCGGUCCGGUAAGUUGGGUGUGAAAGCCCUCGGCUCAACCGAGGAAUUGCGCCCAAAACUGUCGGACUUGAGGGAGACAGAGGUAAGCGGAACUUAGGGUGGAGCGGUGAAAUGCGUUGAUAUCCUAAGGAACACCAGGGGCGAAAGCGGCUUACUGGGUCUCUUCUGACGCUGAGGCACGAAAGCUAGGGUAGCGAACGGGAUUAGAUACCCGCGUAGUCC